rnacentral:lncRNA from 1 species
CAGUCAUCUAUGUCUUUUUCUUUCAUCUCUUCCUGAGUUCAAGUUUUAUGUUUAAAGGUUUCCUGAGUUCAAGUUCUAUGUUUAAAGGUUGAGGUUUCAGUGGCAUGUUACUUACUGUUGCAUUAAGAACCAGCAACUCCCUCUUUGAAUUGUUCUGAAGAAGGGGGUUUGAUAUUUUCAUUUUUCACAAGCAGUUUCGUUUUUAAUCUUUUUGUAUUUUCGAUUUUAACUUUUUUAAUUUUUUUAACUCUUUUUUAUUUCUUUUUAUAUGUUUAGUUAUCAAGUGUUUUGCCCACUGCCUAGUGACUACCGUAACAUAACCUGUUUUCCAGUUGAAG